GAUGAAGAACGUAGCGAAAUGCGAUAAGUAAUGUGAAUUGCAGAAUUCAGUGAAUCAUCGAAUCUUUGAACGCACCUUGCGCUCUUUGGUAUUCCAAAGAGCAUGCCUGUUUGAGUGUCAUGAAAAUAUCAACCUUGACUUGGGUUUUGUGCUCUAGUCUCGGCUUGGAAUUGGGUGCUUGCCGCUUUUACGAGCGGCUCACCUUAAAUGUAUUAGCUGGAUCUGUCUUUGAGACUUGGUUUGACUUGGCGUAAUAAGUAUUUCGCUAAGGACAUUCUUCGGAGUGGCCUCGUUUCUAGGACGCUUGUCCGCUUUCCAAUACAAGUUCCACCUCGUGGACAUGACUUUUUAUUAUCUGGCCUCAAAUCAGGUAGGACUACCCGCUGAACUUAAGCAUAUCAAUAAGCGGAGGA
rnacentral:misc_RNA from 1 species